GACGAACGCUGGCGGCGUGCCUAAUACAUGCAAGUUGAGCGCUGAAGGUUGGUACUUGUACCAACUGGAUGAGCAGCGAACGGGUGAGUAACGCGUGGGGAAUCUGCCUUUGAGCGGGGGACAACAUUUGGAAACGAAUGCUAAUACCGCAUAAAAACUUUAAACACAAGUUUUAAGUUUGAAAGAUGCAAUUGCAUCACUCAAAGAUGAUCCCGCGUUGUAUUAGCUAGUUGGUGAGGUAAAGGCUCACCAAGGCGAUGAUACAUAGCCGACCUGAGAGGGUGAUCGGCCACAUUGGGACUGAGACACGGCCCAAACUCCUACGGGAGGCAGCAGUAGGGAAUCUUCGGCAAUGGACGACAGUCUGACCGAGCAACGCCGCGUGAGUGAAGAAGGUUUUCGGAUCGUAAAACUCUGUUGGUAGAGAAGAACGUUGGUGAGAGUGGAAAGCUCAUCAAGUGACGGUAACUACCCAGAAAGGGACGGCUAACUACGUG
rnacentral:rRNA from 1 species